rnacentral:rRNA from 1 species
UACGGAGGAUCCGAGCGUUAUCCGGAUUUAUUGGGUUUAAAGGGUGCGUAGGCGGCCUAUUAAGUCAGGGGUGAAAGACGGCAGCUUAACUGUCGCAGUGCCUUUGAUACUGAUGGGCUUGAAUGCGGAUGAGGUAGGCGGAAUGAGACAAGUAGCGGUGAAAUGCAUAGAUAUGUCUCAGAACUCCGAUUGCGAAGGCAGCUUACUAAGUCGUGAUUGACGCUGAUGCACGAAAGCGUGGGGAUCAAACAGG